rnacentral:lncRNA from 1 species
GGAGGUGUUGUUCCAACUCCAGUAGACACCAGACUUUGAAAGGCUUGGAUCACGUACGACCUGAAUUUAGCACGGAUGUUUCAGUGGUAUUCUUCAUGAACUAGUUUAUGAUUCAGUCUGUGAAAAUGCAAGGGAUAAAGGUGUCCAAGUUUGCUAAUUUUGACUAACCUGUGCAAGUCUUUUUCCUGCUUCUGCUUCAGAUACAUAGCCUUUGGUAAUGUACUUCUGAAAUGGUGGGAAGAGAGCCCUGAACAAGGGAAUGUGAUUCCUAAACAAACCAGUUUCAGCAAUGCAGCCGGGAUAGAGGGACGCAAAGGCAAUGCCAGUCUCCUCGUGGAAACGCCUAUGAAACUCUUGCAUGGUAAGCAUGUUACAGACUUUGCUGUCUUUGUAGGCUUUGGCGCCGUCAAAUUCUCCUCCAUCAAUCAUGGGUGAGCAGUUUAAACUAUUCAACCCUCCUGAUAGUCCUCGUAGAUCUCCAAGAUUAGCCUUUGGCGGUACGUUUCCAGCCAAAGUGUUUGUGUUUCCUGAUUCAGAAAAAUUAAGUCUUAGAAUCAUUUUGGGUUUCCUUUAAUAUGGAAAUUCCUUUAAUAUGAAAAUUCAGAAGCCCAAAGAGCAAAAAAGUGUUUGUCACUAUCUUAUUUCUGUAGGGCAUCUAUGAAAUCUAUCAUGCUUCCAUCAUAUGCUGUCCAGCAUUUUAGUGAUGUAUCAUGAAAUAUGUGUAGUUUCUCGAUUCUCUGUCUUGUGUAUAUCUAAGUAUGUUAAUGCUUAAUUACUUGUAAAAAAGAAUAUCUAGAUAUGCUAAUUGUGGAGUUCUAGCUUUGCAGCAUUGAUAAUUUGUUCCUAGCUUACUGGUAGUGACCUGAAAUUAAGUUGCUCAAUGAAGUCGAGUAUGCUGGACAUCAGAGCAUAAGCUACCAGUUUGAGACCAGUACCUG